rnacentral:rRNA from 1 species
UGGGGAAUUUUGGACAAUGGGCGCAAGCCUGAUCCAGCAAUGCCGCGUGCAGGAUGAAGGCCUUCGGGUUGUAAACUGCUUUUGUACGGAACGAAAAGGCUCUGGUUAAUACCUUGUGCGGAUGACGGUACCAUCAGAAGAAGCACCGGCUAACUACGUGCCAGCAGCCGCGGUAAUACGUAGGGUGCGAGCGUUAAUCGGAAUUACUGGGCGUAAGGCGUGCGCAGGCGGUUAUAUAAGACAGAUGUGAAAUCCCCGGGCUCAACCUGGGACCUGCAUUUGUGACUGUAUAGCUAGAGUACGGUAGAGGGGGAUGGAAUUCCGCGUGUAGCAGUGAAAUGCGUAGAUAUGCGGAGGAACACCGAUGGCGAAGGCAAUCCCCUGGACCUGUACUGACGCUCAUGCACGAAAGCGUGGGGAGCAAACA